AUGUCUGAAGACAAUCAUAUCUGCAUUAAUAUUCUGUAUUUUCAAGCAAUCAUCAGAAAGCUGGAAGCAUGUUUAAUCUUUGAAUGGAAAAAUGCCUAUAGAUUUUGCCUUUUAUUAAGGGGAAUCUGUCUUUGCCAGUCAGUAACUGAGAAGCCAGCUGUAGCCAGAGGGCAGUGUCCCUUUGCCAGAACUUGAAGUCACUGAUAAGACUCUGCUGUGACCAGCACUGAAUUUGAGUCUGCAGAAGUAUUUACCAGUGAUUGUUGCCAUGAGACAAAUCAGAUACACUCAGCUCUCUGAACUACAGUUAACUGUUUAGGAUUGGAGAGUGACAGGAUCCUUGCUGGCAUCACUGGAUCUCUGAGCUUAUCUGUUUCAUGGUAAUUAAUACAACACUUUCCAUUUAGUUUCCUGUCAGUGCAGUUCCAUUGCCUCAGGCUUCAUUUGCCUUGCUGCUCUGUGUUGAAAGCAGUUGCAGCCCAGCCCACAGCUUUCUCCCUGGAUUUUUCUGAUCACUAUGAGUUUGUAGGAGAGGAAGGGGACUGCAGAAAAUUCAGUAUUCCUGAACUGGUGAAAAGAGGUUAAAUUCGUACCUGGGGAGGAACCCCAUUUGUCUCAUUUACCUUCUGUAUUUCCCAUAUUCUCAUUUUGCUUACAACCAGCAUUUUUUGAAGGAACAGGGGCUCGUUCCUUUCUUCCUGCAUUGCCCUUCCUAGUGCCCUUUUAAUCCUACCAAUUCUUUAUAGCAUAUGGCUGUGUCCCAGUGAUUUCUGUUCCUACCUAUUUUUGUACUCUUUACUUUGGUUCUAAAUCUUGGCCUUUCAAAAUUCCAUAUUGGUUUCUGCAAAGCAUUUAUAUUUUCAUCCAAAAAUCUCCCUCAAAUAUUUUCCACACCUACUAUUGUGUCUGUGGAGACCAUUAAAUGGUUCCCUCAGGUGUCUGUAGAUCUCACAUUUCUUGGUCAUGUUUCCUUCAAGGGAGAUUAUGAAACGGAUAGGAAUUUGUUUCUCAAGUCCCUGUAUAUUUCAAAAUCAUACCAUCAGAUAUACUACUCUGGCAUCCACUCUUGCAAGCUACAUCAGGAGCUGCCAUUGUCACUGACACCAUGAACUAGAUUCUGAGAAACAUGUUAACAUACUGGGGCUGCUGGUAUAAACUAUAAGGUUACAGGAAGAGAAUGUAACUUAAAAUCUUCUAAAUUUCUCUAGAGGUUAUGUCUGUUCUGACAUUUCUCAU
rnacentral:lncRNA from 1 species